GUUCUGCUGAAGGGUCCCAAACUAGGACGAGACAGCUGUCCAGUAC
rnacentral:hammerhead_ribozyme from 1 species